GGAUAAUACAUUUUUUAAAUGCUUUUUUUUUCCCCUCCAUUAGGUUUCUGCCUCCUUUAAUGAACUAGACAGAACUUUAAGCUCAGGUUUGCCUCAGUUCAUAUAAACAAACAGAAUGCCUACUCUCCUGAAUGGGGGAGGUCCAGAAAAGGAUAUCAUGUCCCAGUGAUGUGGGAAGGUUUUCUGGUGGUUUGUGGCCAAGGACCACCGUCCUACAGCAAGGUGCUACAGCAAAUCAGCCACUCUGAUUUGGCAUCUCCUUUGGCUGAGUUACAGAGCAGAGUUUCUGAGGCUCAGAAUUAUAAUCCUGCUUCCUCCCCUUUGUCUAUGGCUAUUCUCAAGGAUAUUUAUUUCUUCUGGCACUCCUGAUGCUUCCCAUUGCUUGAAGCAGGAACACACCUCAUGCCGGGGAACCAAAGAUGGUGGCCAUUAUUGCUGUUAUUCCAGCUGUGAUACUGAAAAGAAAUAGCGAAGAUUUUGCCUUCAGAAAGUUCUCAGUGACAACCAGGGUUAUGAAAUAAUCUAUACUGGCAAUUUCUGCAAGUUUGACAAGUCAUCUGUCUUUAAAAUUGGGGCAAGACAAGAACAUUUAAAAAAACUCUUUGUGAAGAGAGACAGUGUCUCAGAGUGUCUCACUGUGUCACCGAGGCUGGAGUGCAAUGGUGUGAUCAUAGCUCACUGCAGCAUCCAACUCCUGGGCUCAGGUGAUCCUCCUGCUUCAGCCUCCUGAGUAGCUGGGACAGCAGGCUCACACCAUCACACCCAGCUAAUUUAACUUUUGUAGAGAUAGAGUCUCACUAUGUUACCCAGGCUGGUGUCUUGAACUCCUGGCCUGAAGCAAUUCUCUGCCUCAGCCUCCCAAAGUGCUGGGAUUAAAGGCAUGAGCCAUUGUGCCAGUAUGGAUUGUUUGUUUUUGGAAUUUUUAUUUAAUAUUUUUUGACUACUGUUGACCACACUUAACUGAAACUGCAGAAACUGAAAACACAGAUAAAGGGCGCUAUUGUAUUUUAUGAUUCCUCCACCAUUUAGUUACUGUGGGGGUGCUACUGGAGACUGUAAAUCUCCUGUUCCUCAAUAACCUUUCCACUCUAUGGUUUUAUCAUCUAUUGAUAAUUUUCACCGGAAUGAAAUUUACUGCCUUCAUUCUAAAAUAGUAAUUUUCCAAUUUAUAAUCUAUUUUGUAUGUUUUAGUCAGUAUUCUAUUGUUAGAAAAGGAUUUGUUUAUAGCAUACUUGUCUUUCUCUUUAUUUAUCUGCAAUCAAUACAGACUCAGAAAUCAUUUUAUUCGGAAUUUUAAUCUAUGUGCGUCAAUAUGGAUCCUGGUCAAAUUACUAUUACAGUAUAUUUUACAUAAGAUACACUCAUUUAGAUGCAUUGAAUGGUUGAUAAAUUUUGAGAAAAGCACACAACAGAAUCAAAAUAUAGAACGUUUUUGUUAUGCUCAUAUUUCUCUGUUGUCCUUUUGCAUGAUUGCUGAAAACUUCCAUUAUAUGAAAAAUGUUUUUCUUUGUAUCACUAUAUAUUUUUGUCAAUUCUAAAAUUUUAUACACAUAAAAUUACCCUGUACUUACUUGUGUGUGCCUGACUUCUUUUGCUUAGCUUAGUGUC
rnacentral:lncRNA from 1 species